AUUGAACGCUGGCGGUAUGCUUAAGACAUGCAAGUCGUGCGGUAGGGGCUUCGGCCCUGAGAGUGGCGGACGGGUGAGUAACGCGUGGGAAUCUGCCUGCUAGUGGGGGAUAGCCCGGAGAAAUCCGGAUUAAUACCGCAUACGCCCUAAGGGGAAAGCCGCAAGGCGCUAGUAGAUGAGCUCGCGUAAGAUUAGCUAGUUGGUGAGGUAAAGGCUCACCAAGGCGACGAUCUUUAGCUGGUCUGAGAGGAUGGCCAGCCACAUCGGGACUGAGACACGGCCCGGACUCCUACGGGAGGCAGCAGUCGGGAAUAUUGGACAAUGGGCGCAAGCCUGAUCCAGCAAUACCGCGUGUGUGAAGAAGGCCUGCGGGUUGUAAAGCACUUUCAGUUGGGAAGAUAAUGACGUUACCAACAGAAGAAGCACCGGCUAACUCCGUG
rnacentral:rRNA from 1 species